rnacentral:rRNA from 1 species
GAGACACGCUGGCGGCGCGCCUAACACAUGCAAGUCGAACGGACGAGAGGGAGCUUGCUCCUUCAAGUUAGUGGCGAACGGGUGAGUAACGCGUGAGAAACCUACCUUUCAGUGGGGGACAACAGUUGGAAACGACUGCUAAUACCGCAUAACGUAUCGAUAGGGCAUCCUAAUGAUACCAAAGCUUUAUGUGCUGAAAGAUGGUCUCGCGUCUGAUUAGCUAGUUGGUGGGGUAACGGCCCACCAAGGCGACGAUCAGUAGCCGGUCUGAGAGGAUGAACGGCCACAUUGGGACUGAGAUACGGCCCAGACUCCUACGGGAGGCAGCAGUGGGGAAUAUUGGGCAAUGGGGGAAACCCUGACCCAGCAACGCCGCGUGAAGGAAGAAGGCCUUCGGGUUGUAAACUUCUUUUACCAGGGACGAAGGACGUGACGGUACCUGGAGAAAAAGCAACGGCUAACUACGUG